rnacentral:rRNA from 1 species
UACGGAGGGUGCAAGCGUUAUCCGGAAUGAUUGGGCGUAAAGCGUCCGCAGGUGGCUGUGUAAGUCUGCUGUUAAAGAGUCUAGCUCAACUAGAUAAGAGCAGUGGAAACUACAUAGCUAGAGUACGUUCGGGGCAGAGGGAAUUCCUGGUGUAGCGGUGAAAUGCGUAGAGAUCAGGAAGAACACCGGUGGCGAAGGCGCUCUGCUAGGCCGUAACUGACACUGAGGGACGAAAGCUAGGGGAGCGAAUGGG